rnacentral:rRNA from 1 species
ACUGCUCAGUAACACGUGGACAACCUGCCCUGAGGACUGGAAUAAUCCCGGGAAACUGGGAGUAAUUCCAGAUAUGCCAGGGAACCUGGAAUGGUUUCUGGCAGAAAUGCUCCGGCGCCUCAGGAUGGGUCUGCGGCCUAUCAGGGUAGUAGUGGGUGUAACGUACCCACUAGCCUACGACGGGUACGGGUUGUGAGAGCAAGAGCCCGGAGAUGGAUUCUGAGACAUGAAUCCAGGCCCUACGGGGUGCAGCAGGCGCGAAAACUUUACAAUGCGGGCAACCGCGAUAAGGGGACCUCGAGUGCUGGGUUACAAACCUGGCUGUUGGGCUGCCUAAAAAGCAGUCUAUAGCAAGGGCCGGGCAAGACCGGUGCCAGCCGCCGCGGUAACACCGGCGGCUCGAGUGGUAACCGCUGUUAUUGGGUCUAAAGGGUCUGUAGCCUGCCGGCUAAGUCUCUUGGGAAAUCUGGCAUCUCAAGUGUCAGGCUGCCAGGGGAUACUGGUCAGCUUGGGACCGGGAGAGGUGAGAGGUACCUCAGGGGUAGGGGUGAAAUCUUGUAAUCCUUGUGGGACCACCAGUGGCGAAGGCGUCUCACCAGAACGGAUCCGACGGCAAGGGACGAAAGCUAGGGGCACGAACCGGAUUAGAUACCCGGGUAGUCCUAGCCGUAAACGAUACUCGCUAGGUGUCGGCCACGGUGCGACCGUGGUCGGUGCCGUAGGGAAGCCGUGAAGCGAGCCACCUGGGAAGUACGGCCGCAAGGCUGAACUUAAAGGAAUUGGGCGGGGGAGCAC